GUUGGAUCGGAUUUAUCAGCAGCAGUAGUGACUCAUCCAGCGACUCGGAUAACUCGGCUAGUGACUCAGAAGACGAGUCCAAAACAAACAAUGAUAAAUCAGGACAGGGUCUGUUUGGAUCCCAGCCUCUCUAUCAGUCAGUCCCUCCAGCCUCCAACAUCUUGGGUAAAGAUCUGGAACUGAGUGACGAUGAUAGCGAGAGUGAUUGACAGGCAGGGAAUUCUGGGAAGGAUUGGAAAAGUGGAAUUCUGGGAAUAUUGGGAGAAGUUAUUGACAUUGUUGUCAUAGAGGACUCCCAGUACUGCUUUACAUGGAAAACGUUCUUAUGUUGUUGCUUUAUACACAAUGUAAGGGUAGUGUCACUAGUGUGUUAUUACUGAGUGAUAGGAAGUUUGGAAGAAUGGUACUGUAAAGUUAAACCAACUUUUUUUGGCGUGCGAGAAUUUUUUGCGAGGUUCAGGAGUCUUGUCAUCGGGAAUAUUCCUAUUAAUCAGUCCUUAAAGUCUCUCUCUUUUAACAACACUUCCAAAAAGGCUUUGAUUGCAAAAAUUUAUUAUGGCGAACUAGUUUCACCCUGGUUAAAAGUCGUCACGAUUAAAAGUUGUUUUUUAGUAUGUUACAAUACAAAUUGUUUUAGCAAUACAAAGGUAUUAUACUAAUAUUAUAAAUUAUAUUUUUGCAUUAUUACAUUUUGCAUUUUAACAAUUGUAAAAAAAAAAAUCAAAAAGGCAAUAUUUGGGGCAGUUUUACUCUCACAACAGUCUUAUCUAGUCCAUAUUAACUGACUCCAUUUUAAUGUACAUAUUAGACUUUCUUAUGUUAUGAGAUAAGCAUAUGGAGAACAUUGAAUUGAUACUGUGAUGCACAUCAUCUUGAUUUAUCUUUAGGCUCAAAUAGAAAAAAAAAUCGUUUAAGAUUUUGAUCUUUUUAAUACCUCUUGAAAAAGAUCUUGGACACAUAUGAUUAUUAAAACUAAUUAAGUUUAAAUGGAAUAUUCCCUUCAUUAAAUUGUACAUUUAUUUUUUGUGUGUUUUGCACUUUUGAUGGGCUGAAAAAAAUUUUAUAUAAAAGGAAAUUGUUUAAUGUUAACCUAGCUCACACAGCAAAUUUUACAGGAUACCAACACAGUGAUUUUGUCAAAACUGUGAUAGUACAGAUGAAAAAAAAAUGCUUUUUGGUUCUCAAAUUAAGCAUUCAAAUUCUGUACAAUUUGUACAACCCUUACAAUGACAAAUAUUUCACAGUUUUAUUUUAUGCCAUUUUUGAUUGAAAAUAUACAUAUGUAUGUUUACGACAUGUUGUUUUUUUUUAAAUCUGCUCCCCUCCCCCAAACUAAAUUGUCCAUCUUUUUGCAAAUCUUUAAAAUGUGUGUCAGGUGGUAUAUGCUCGUUCAAUGUCUUUCACGCAUCAAUUGUUUUAUAUUUUUGUGACAGGUUUUCUUGUUUUCCUUGAAAUAAAGCGAUGAAAUGUAGCGAGUCCAGUUGAUGUGUGUACGUAUAAUGGGUAUGGGUCAAGUUUUCCAGGUUUAAAAUUUUACUAUCGUUGUGGUCAUGAAUUCAAAGGUCUCUUCAUACUUUGAAAACAAUGAAAAUUAAUUCCCCAAUAAGAUAAGUGAUUUAACAAUAUAUUCCUUGUCAAAAGGCUAAUAAUAAGGAUGGCAUCAAUGGUUAUUAAUAGCAACUGGUGAUUAUAUGCUCAACAAAGAACGCAUGU